rnacentral:rRNA from 1 species
UACGUAGGGGGCUAGCGUUGUCCGGAAUCAUUGGGCGUAAAGAGCGUGUAGGCGGCCCGGUAAGUCCGCUGUGAAAGUCGGGGGCUCAACCCUCGGAUGCCGGUGGAUACUGUCGGGCUCGAGUACGGAAGAGGCGAGUGGAAUUCCUGGUGUAGCGGUGAAAUGCGCAGAUAUCAGGAGGAACACCAAUUGCGAAGGCAGCUCGCUGGGACGUUAUUGACGCUGAGACGCGAAAGCGUGGGGAGCAAACAGG